UAAAAUAAUUAAAAACAAUGAACAUAAAUCCAAAUUAACCCUCACCGUUACUAUAGCAUUUAAUUCUAUCUUGUUGAUUUAUUUUAUUUUAUUUUAUUUUAUUUUAAAAAUAGUAGAGUUAGUGUAGCGCCUUAGCGGCGACUUGAUCAAGUGUAUCCGUUACCACUUACCAUACUACGAGUCCUUGACGUUCUCACACUAAAUUACCCUCGCCUCCAAUCACUAAGAUCUCACGGCCCUUAGAACUUAACAAAAUCGUUUGGCGGGAGAUUUCAUUUUCUCCUCUAUUUCUGCUAAUUCGGUCCAUCUCAGGGCAGAUAUCCGUUUCUCUCUCUCCCUCUCUGUCCCGGUCAAGUUCUCUAGUAGUAAUUCAAAUCCUAGGUCAUGGAUGACGGUGCGCCUCGACCCUACAAUUACUACUCGUCGUUCGGGCUAGGUUUCAAACUCGAGGAGGUGGAGAUGAACCUCGUGAGGCAAACGGUAACAAUAGGGAGAAUCAAGAAAGGAGUAGCGAUGCCCAUGAUGGGAGCCCCAACCUAGAGGAAUGGGAGGGUUCACCCGAGGAUUUCGAAGAAAUUCGUCCCAAAACUAAGCCAAGUGGAGCUGCUGAGGGAAUUUCUGAUGUCUCGAAAAGAGCGGACGAGAGAUAAAUCGGUUGGGAAGGGGAGGCAAUAGGCACAGAUCGGAGAUUUAUUUACAUCCUAAGGUGGGGAUUUAGAGGCUUUAAGCAAGGUUGGGUAUUGUAUUUGUUGCAUGCAAUGUUUAUGAGGAAGAAGAAGGGAAAUAACAUUUAAUGAUUUAACAAACAAAGAAGUCUAAGUUCGUGAAAGUUUUCAUCCUUCAAAAUUUAUCUUUACCAAAGACAUUUUUGUACAUGUGGUGCAUGUGAAUGUUUGAGGCAGUCUACUUUGAAAUUUUAAAAUGCCAAUAGUGGUUGUGAUGGUCGUUACAAAGGAAAACUAGUUAGAUGGAGUGUCCCAGGAAUUACUUCCAAGUUUGACCUCCACCUCCAGCUCCACCUCCAUCAAUCUGGCCUACAUGCUUCUGAGGAACAAUUACCUCAUCAUUAAGUAAAAGUACAAGGCAUUCAAAAUGGCAUUUAUAUGCCCUAAUUAUAUACUGUCUUUGGUAAUUAAGUAAUUUGCUUUGGACGAUUGGAAGUGUAUCAUCUCCAUGCUCUUGUAUGAGAAUCCAUUAAUAGCUGAUGAACAUGCAACAAACCUGAGUAGGCUUCUUUUUGCUUCUGUCAGAAAGGCUGUUGGAGAGAGGAUUGUUCCAGCUUCUGAUAAUCAGAAGCAAUAUUACCUCAAAAAGUAUCUAAAUUCUUUGUUUCUUACUCCUUAUUAUCAUUCCUCCUUAGCUCAUAUAAGGAUUUAAUUGCAGUAUUAUUUGUAUUUGCAUUACUAGUAUGAUGAUUUUCACUGCAUUGUAUUGCCACUCACAAAGAUGACUAAAUCUCAAUUUGUCUUUU